UAGGGAAUCUUCGGCAAUGGACGAAAGUCUGACCGAGCAACGCCGCGUGAGUGAAGAAGGUUUUUCGGAUCGUAAAACUCUGUUGGUAGAGAAGAACGUUGGUGAGAGUGGGAAAGCUCAUCAAGUGACGGUAACUACCCAGAAAGGGACGGCUAACUCGUGCCAC
rnacentral:rRNA from 1 species